rnacentral:rRNA from 1 species
AAUGAACGUUGGCGGCGUGGAUUAGGCAUGCAAGUCGAGCGCGAUAUGUAGCAAUACAUGGAGAGCGGCGAAAGGGAGAGUAAUACGUAGGUAUCUACCCUCGGGUCUGGGAUAGCAGCGGGAAACUGCUGGUAAUACCAGAUAACGUCUCCGGACCAAAGGUGUGCUUCGACCUGAGGAGGAGCCUACGGCCUAUUAGCUAGUUGGUAGGGUAACGGCCUACCAAGGCAAAGAUGGGUAGGGGGUGUGAGAGCAUGCCCCCACUCACUGGGACUAGGACAACGCCCAGACACCUACGGGUGGCUGCAGUCGAGAAUCUUCGGCAAUGGGCGAAAGCCUGACCGAGCGAGGCCGCGUGCGGGAUGAAGGCCUUCGGGUUGUAAACCGCUGUAGUAGUGGAGGAAAUGUAGGAGAGUUAUCUCUUCUACUUGACUAAUACUAGGAGGAAGGACCGGCUAAUCUCGUGCCAGCCGCCGCCGUAACAC